UCCAGGGUAGCCUAGUGGACAUGGCACCUGCCGGUUCGAUUCCCGCCCCUGGAC
rnacentral:tRNA from 1 species